AUUGAACGCUGGCGGCAGGCCUAACACAUGCAAGUCGAACGAGUGGCGGACGGGUGAGUAAUGUCUGGGAAACUGCCCGAUGGAGGGGGAUAAUUACUGGAAACGGUAGCUAAUACCGCAUAUCAUCGGAUGUGCCCAGGUGGGAUUAGGCAGUAGGUGGGGUAACGGCUCACCUAGGCGACGAUCCCUAGCUGGUCUGAGAGGAUGACCGGGCACACUGGAAAGGAGACACGGUCCAGACUCCAACGGGAGGCAGCAGUGGGGAAGAUGGCACAAUGGGCGGAAGCCUGAUGCGGCCAUGCCGCGUGUAUGAAGAAGUCCUGCGGGUUGUAAAGUUAUUUCGGUAGCGAGGCGUUAACUACAGAAGAAGCACCGGCUAACGCCGUGCCAGCAGCCGCGGUAAUUC
rnacentral:rRNA from 1 species